rnacentral:rRNA from 1 species
GACAGAGGGUGCAAACGUUGUUCGGAAUUACUGGGCGUAAAGCGAGUGUAGGCGGUUCGGUAAGUCGGAUGUGAAAGCCCCGGGCUCAACCCGGGAAGGUGCCACUCGAUACUGCCGAGCUAGAGUAUCGGAGAGGUUGGUGGAAUUCUCGGUGUAGAGGUAGAAAUUCGUAGAUAUCGAGAGGAACACCGGUGGCGAAGGCGGCCAACUGGACGAAUACUGACGCUGG